UACAUAGGUGGCAAGCGUUAUCCGGAUUUAUUGGGCGUAAAGCGUGCGUAGGCGGCUUUUUAAGUCGGAUGUGAAAUCCCCGAGCUCAACUUGGGAAUUGCAUUCGAUACUGGGAAGCUAGAGUAUGGGAGAGGAUGGUAGAAUUCCAGGUGUAGCGGUGAAAUGCGUAGAGAUCUGGAGGAAUACCGAUGGCGAAGGCAGCCAUCUGGCCUAAUACUGACGCUGAGGUACGAAAGCAUGGGGAGCAAACAGG
rnacentral:rRNA from 1 species